GAUGAACGCUGGCGGCGUGCUUAACACAUGCAAGUCGAACGAAGCACUUUUGAUUGAUUUCCUCGGAAAGAUUUCACUUGUGACUGAGUGGCGGACGGUGAGUAACGCGUGGGUAACCUGCCUCAUACAGGGGGAUAACAGUUAGAAAUGACUGCUAAUACCGCAUAAGCGCACGGUAUCGCAUGAUACAGUGUGAAAAACUCCGGUGGUAUGAGAUGGACCCGCGUCUGAUUAGCUAGUUGGUGAGGUAACGGCCCACCAAGGCGACGAUCAGUAGCCGACCUGAGCGGGUGACCGGCCACAUUGGGACUGAGACACGGCCCAAACUCCUACGGGAGGCAGCAGUGGGGAAUAUUGCACAAUGGGCGAAAGCCUGAUGCAGCGACGCCGCGUGAACGAAGAAGUAUUUCGGUAUGUAAAGUUCUAUCAGCAGGGAAGAUAAUGACGGUACCUGACUAAGAAGCACCGGCUAAAUACGUGCCAGCCGCCGCCGUAAGAC
rnacentral:rRNA from 1 species